rnacentral:rRNA from 1 species
CCUACGGGAGGCAGCAGUAGGGAAUAUUGGACAAUGGACGAAAGUCUGAUCCAGCAAUGCCGCGUGAAUGAUGAAGGCCUUAGGGUUGUAAAGUUCUUUUAGUAGGGAAGAUAAUGACGGUACCUACAGAAAAAGCACCGGCUAACUCCGUGCCAGCAGCCGCGGUAAUACGGAGGGUGCAAGCGUUGUUCGGAAUUACUGGGCGUAAAGCACGCGUAGGCGGCUUGGUAAGUUGGGAGUGAAAUCCCGAGGCUCAACCUCGGAAUUGCUUUCAAAACUAUCAAGCUAGAGUAUGGCAGGGGACAGUGGAAUUCCUAGUGUAGAGGUGAAAUUCGUAGAUAUUAGGAGGAACACCAGUGGCGAAAGCGACUGUCUGGACCAUUACUGACGCUGAGGCGUGAAAGCGUGGGGAGCAAACAGGAUUAGAUACCCUGGUAGUCCACGCUGUAAACUAUGGGUGCUAGAUAUUGGAGCUUAAGUUUCAGUGUCGUAGCUAACGCGUUAAGCACCCCGCCUGGGGAGUACGGUCGCAAGAUUAAAACUCAAAGGAAUUGACGG